rnacentral:tRNA from 1 species
GAGGGUAGAGCUCAGUGGUAGAGCGCGUGCUUAGCACGCACGAGGUCCUGGGUUCAAUCCCCAGCACCUGCA